rnacentral:rRNA from 1 species
UACGGGGGGGGGCAAGCGUUGUUCGGAAUUACUGGGCGUAAAGGGCUCGUAGGCGGCCAACUAAGUCGGAUGUGAAAUCCCCAGGCUAACCUGGGAACUGCAUCCGAUACUGGAUGGCUUGAAUCCGGGAGAGGGAUGCAGAAUUCCAGGUGUAGCGGUGAAAUGCGUAGAUAUCUGGAGGAAUACCGGUGGCGAAGGCGGCAUCCUGGACCGGCAUUGACGCUGAUGAGCGAAAGCCAGGGGAGCAAACGGG